GCGGCCUCCUGUCCUCUUUUAACUCCUCUGCUUUCUUUGUCUGUGUGGUCCGACCACCCCUCUUCCCAGCUUGGGAUCGCGGAGGGCCCUGCACUAGGGCACCUAGCAGGGACUGGGACAUCCCCGUCUGUGGGCCGGUGGUGGGACCCACCUGUCUCUACAGGCCUUGCUCCCUGAGAAACCGUCACCAGAUACACCGUCGCCAGGACUUCCUGGGGCACCCGCGCUGUUCUGGAAAACUAGAAAAGUUUUCUUUUUGGUCACUCACCACUGGUCCCAUGGCUGCCAUGCAGAUGGAUCCUGAGCUUGCCAAGCACCUCUUCUUUGAAGGGGCCACUGUGGUCAUCCUGAAUAUGCCCAAGGGGACAGAGUUUGGCAUUGACUACAACUCCUGGGAGGUGGGGCCCAAGUUCCGGGGUGUGAAGAUGAUCCCUCCAGGCAUCCACUUCCUCCACUACAGCUCUGUGGACAAGGCCAAUCCCAGGGAGGUGGGCCCCCGUAUGGGCUUCUUCCUUAGCCUACAGCAGCGGGGGCUGAAGGUCCUGCGCUGGGAUGCAGUCCAGGAAGAGGUAGACCUGUCCCCAGCCCCAGAGGCUGUGGUGGAGGCCAUGAGGGCCAACCUCCAGGAGCUGGACCAGUUCCUGGGACCUUACCCAUAUGCCACACUCAAGAAGUGGAUCUCACUAACCAACUUCAUCAGCGAGGCCACAGUGGAGAAGCUCCAGCCCGAGAGUCGGCAGAUCUGUGCCUUCUCAGAUGUGCUGCCUGUGCUCUCCAUGAAGUACACCAAGGACCGGGUGGAGCAGAAUCUACCCCGCUGCGGCACUGAGUGCAAAAGCUACCAGGAAGGCCUGGCCCGGCUGCCCGAGAUGAAGCCCAGACCCGGCACAGAGAUCCGGUUCUCCGAGCUGCCCACACAGAUGUUUCCGGCAGGUGCCACGCCGGCCGAGAUAACCAGGCACAGCAUGGACCUGAGCUAUGCUCUGGAGACCGUGCUCAGCAAGCAGUUCCCCCAAAGUCCCCAGGACGUGCUAGGUGAACUCCAGUUUGCCUUUGUAUGCUUCCUGCUGGGGAACGUGUACGAGGCAUUCGAGCACUGGAAGCAGCUCCUGAACCUUCUGUGCCGGUCAGAAGAGGCCAUGGUGAAGCACCACACCCUUUACGUCAACCUCAUCUCCAUCCUCUACCACCAGCUUGGUGAGAUCCCCGCCGACUUCUUUGUGGACAUUGUCUCCCAGGACAACUUCCUCACCAGCACCCUACAGGUGAGGGCGGAAGACCAAGUGAGGCAAUGUAAAUGGUCGACAUCCCACAGUAACUCAGCGAAAGAGCGGCUGGGACUAGAUCUGAGGUCCUUCUGAGCCACAGCCAUCAGGCAGAAGAAUUGGAGAGAGCUGUUGGGUGCCUCCAGUGGACCAGUGUCUGGGAGCUGUCCACCUCGUCUGCUGCUGGACCCCAAGGGUCGGCAUCACCUGGAAACUUGUUAGAAAUGUAGACUCCUCAGCCCUGCCCUAGACCUGCCGAAUCAGAACCUGCCUUUGAACAAGAUCCCUGGGGGAUUCCUAUGAACACUAAAGUUCGAGAAGCAUUGGCCCAGGCUACGUGUGCAGGGUUCUCUUGGGCACACGUAUCCAGGAGUGGAUUUGCUGGGUCACAGUGGUGUUGCAGUACAGAGAGCUGCACUGAUCUACAUCUUUACCCACACUUGGUAUUGUCAGACUUUCUCAUUUUUGCCAGUCGAAUGGGAAUAAAGUGGCAAUUCAUCACUGUCUGGACUUACCUCUCCCUGAUGACUAAUGAGGUCAGGCAACUCGUGUUUACCGGCCAUGUUUCCCUUCUGUGAAAUGCCCUGUGAAAUGCUCUUCUGGGCUCACUCAGCUCUACUCCUGCCUUUGCACUUGCUAUUCUCUCAGCCUGAAACAACUUCCCCCUUCACUGCCCGGUGUCAGUUCUUCCAGGAAGCCCUCCACGACUGCUGCUCAGGCUGUGAGCCUCUUCAGCCUCACUGGCAGGAAAACUUGGUGUCACUGUCCCUUCAUUUCAUCUCCUGGAGGCUCUUCCUCACCAAAGAGAUCGCAAACCUUAUGGCUUGGCCCCCACAGAGUUUUGAUUUUUUUUUUUUUCAACUUAGUUCCAUGAUUUAAAAUUUGGAAAAUUUUGUAUUUUAAAAAAUCUGAAAAAUUUUGUAUUUUAAAAAAUCGGAAUUGCUGAUUUAUCUUCAAAAAAACAAGAUGUAACCCCACUGGGCCUCUUUUUCUACAUGGCAACAAUCAGCUGGUGCUGAGUAGGGGCUGCCCCUGCCAGACCAUGUGUCACAGUCCCCACACCUCCAUGCUCACCGCCUGCUUAAUGACCUGCCUGGGCUCUGUGAGCAUUUAAGUUUGUGACGCUUGCCUAAGCACACCAGUUGUUUAUUCCUCUAAAUCUCUCCCAUCCUUUUCCUUCUCCCCGUAACUCUGUCUCUGUCCCCCCUCAGGCCUUCACACCUGUCCCCUGGACUGUCACACCAGCCUCCCCACGACCUUGCUUUUCUAGUCUUGCCCCUUCCAGUCCACUGACCAUGUCACAACCCCACUCAAGAACCAACAGUGGCUCCCCAUUGCCUUCCCAGGCAUCUCCUGACUUUCUAAAAAAAAAAAAAAAAAAAAAAAAGCAGGGACUUCCCUGGUGGUCCAGUGGUUAAGACUCUGCGCUCCCAAUGCAGGGGGCCUGGGUUUGAUCCCUGGUCAGGGAACUAGAUCCCAUAUGCUGCAACUAAGACCCAGUGCAGACAAAUAAAUAAAGAAUUAUUUUUAAUUUUAAAAAAAAGCAUUAUUACAUUAUGAAUAUUUCAUGUUCACAACAAAGUCUAGAGAACAGCAUAACAAACACCCAUGUACCCACCACCCAGCUUAAGAAAUAAACCAUUUCAAGUGUAAUUGAAGCCCCAUUACAUUCCCUUCCCUUUCUCCCUCUGGGUCACUACUCUCUUGAAUUUGCUCUUUAUUACUGCCAUGUGUGUUUUUAUGUAAUACACUUAUAUUACAUAUGCAUGUGUCCCUAAACAAUAUAUAGUAUUGUGGGUUUUCAAACUUUAUAUAUCUGGCAUCAAACUGUGUCUUCC